AAUCCUGGAACUCAAGUCGGUAGAGCAUGAGUCUCUUGAUCUCAACGUUGUGGGUUCGAGCCCCACAUUGGGUUA